UUGUGAAUGAUGAAAAAAGUUCUCAAAUGUUCGCAGUUGAGAGUUUUUAGAAAAAAAGCUCAAUGAAUUUUUAUUGUAGCCUUCACUUAGAUGUCUGACACAAGAA
rfam:Plasmodium falciparum Dd2 supercont1.126 genomic scaffold, whole genome shotgun sequence.